AGUUAGUUUUCGUUUCAGAUUAU
rnacentral:snRNA from 1 species